rnacentral:rRNA from 1 species
GACGGAGGGAGCUAGCGUUGUUCGGAUUUACUGGGCGUAAAGGGCGCGUAGGCGGAUUAAUAAGUUGGGAGUGAAAGCCCGGGGCUUAACCUCGGAACUGCUCUCAAAACUGUUAGUCUUGAGUGAAGUAGGGGGUGAUGGAAUUCCUAGUGUAGAGGUGAAAUUCUUAGAUAUUAGGAGGAACACCGGUGGCGAAGGCGGUCACCUGGACUUCAACUGACGCUGAGGCGCGAAAGCGUGGGGAGCAAACAGG